AUUGAACGCUGGCGGCAGGCCUAACACAUGCAAGUCGAACGAGUGGCGGACGGGUGAGUAAUGUCUGGGAAACUGCCUGAUGGAGGGGGAUAACUACUGGAAACGGUAGCUAAUACCGCAUACCAUCGGAUGUGCCCAGAUGGGAUUAGCUAGUAGGUGGGGUAAAGGCUCACCUAGGCGACGAUCCCUAGCUGGUCUGAGAGGAUGACCGGCCACACUGGAACUGGGACACGGUCGGGACUCCUACGGGGGGCAGCAGUGGGGGAUAUUGCACGAUGGGGGCAAGCCUGAUGCAGCCAUGCCGCGUGUAUGAAGAGGGCCUUCGGGUUGUAAAGUACUUUCAGCAGGAAGGCGUUACCCGCAGAGGAAGCACCGGCUAACUCCGUGCCAGCAGCCGCGGUAAUAC
rnacentral:rRNA from 1 species